UCGGCCACUCCUUCUAGUCUUGAAUAAGCUCAAGAGCAUAGGGGGGCAAUUUCAGAUAAGGGAAAAGAGAAAGUAACCGAGUAGCCACUCCGCAACUGUACCAAAUAUCCGAGAUUUUGUUCGUCAGCUACCGGACUCGGAAGUGUCAAAGUCGAAGUCAUCCACACUAUCUAAGCCACUUUUUGGUACUCUUUUAGUUCAAUUUUGAAAAUGGCAUGUAUAGGGCUGACCCUUG